UUCCGGUUGAUCCUGCCGGAGGUCAUUGCUAGUGGAGUCCGAUUUAGCCAUGCUAGUUGCACGAGUUCAGACUCGUAGCAGAUAGCUCAGUAACACGUGGCCAAACUACCCUACAGAGCGCGAUAACCUCGGGAAACUGAGGCUAAUAGCGCAUACGGCUCUCACGCUGGAACUGCGGAGAGCUCGAAACGCCCCGGCGCUGUAGGAUGUGGCUGCGGCCGAUUAGGUAGACGGUGGGGUAACGGCCCACCGUGCCAGUAAUCGGUACGGGUUGUGAGAGCAAGAGCCCGGAGACGGUAUCUGAGACAAGAUACCGGGCCCUACGGGGCGCAGCAGGCGCGAAACCUUUACACUGCACGCCAGUGCGAUAAGGGGACUCCAGGUGCGAGGGCAUAUAGUCCUCGCUUUUGUACACCGUAAGGUGGUGUACGAAUAAGUGCUGGGCAAGACCGGUGCCAGCCGCCGCGGUAAUACCGGCAGCACGAGUGAUGACCGCUAUUAUUGGGCCUAAAGCGUCCGUAGCUGGCCAGGCAAGUCCGUCGGGAAAUCUCCCCGCCCAACGGGGAGGCGUCCGGUGGAAACUGCUUGGCUUGGGACCGGAAGAUCCAGAGGGUACGUCCGGGGUAGGAGUGAAAUCCCGUAAUCCUGGACGGACCACCGGUGGCGAAAGCGCUCUGGAAAGACGGAUCCGACGGUGAGGGACGAAAGCUCGGGUCACGAACCGGAUUAGAUACCCGGGUAGUCCGAGCUGUAAACGAUGUCUGCUAGGUGUGCCACAGGCUACGAGCCUGUGGUGUGCCGUAGGGAAGCCGUGAAGCAGACCGCCUGGGAAGUACGUCCGCAAGGAUGAAACUUAAAGGAAUUGGCGGGGGAGCACUACAACCGGAGGAGCCUGCGGUUUAAUUGGAUUCAACGCCGGA
rnacentral:rRNA from 1 species